GUAGGUGAACCUGCGGAAGGAUCAUUAACACGUAUCCAACGUUAAACAACCCUGUGAACCUUGAGCGUGCUCUCGUACACGCUCUAGCAGCAAUCCCUGGUAAAUCAUUGUUGACCAGCUAUUGAGUCUGGGACUUCUGCUAGAAAACCAUACGAUACGAGCGAUCUGUCAGUGGUUGCGCAAGGAUGGCGCAGUAAACGAUCGCUGUAGGCCCACACGGCCGGCGACCGGGCCUCUGUGCUUCGGCACCUAAUGACACCAGUUUUCUGACCCGGUGCGCUGUAACAACCGCACCACAAACUCGAACAACUGUUAACAAUGGAUAUCUUGGUUCUU
rnacentral:misc_RNA from 1 species